UGCAGUCGAGCGAACAGAUAAGGAGCUUGCUCCUUUGACGUUAGCGGCGGACGGGUGAGUAACACGUGGAUAACCUACCUAUAAGACUGGGAUAACUUCGGGAAACCGGAGCUAAUACCGGAUAAGAUUUUGAACCGCAUGGUUCAAUAGUGAAAGACGGCCUUGCUGUCACUUAUAGAUGGAUCCGCGCCGUAUUAGCUAGUUGGUAAGGUAACGGCUUACCAAGGCAACGAUACGUAGCCGACCUGAGAGGGUGAUCGGCCACACUGGAACUGAGACACGGUCCAGACUCCUACGGGAGGCAGCAGUAGGGAAUCUUCCGCAAUGGGCGAAAGCCUGACGGAGCAACGCCGCGUGAGUGAUGAAGGUCUUCGGAUCGUAAAACUCUGU
rnacentral:rRNA from 1 species